UACGUAGGUGGCAAGCGUUGUCCGGAAUUAUUGGGCGUAAAGCGCGCGCAGGCGGUCCUUUAAGUCUGAUGUGAAAGCCCACGGCUCAACCGUGGAGGGUCAUUGGAAACUGGGUGACUUGAGUGCAGGAGAGAAGAGUGGAAUUCCACGUGUAGCGGUGAAAUGCGUAGAGAUGUGGAGGAACACCAGUGGCGAAGGCGACUCUUUGGCCUGUAACUGACGCUGAGGCGCGAAAGCAUGGGGAGCGAACAGG
rnacentral:rRNA from 1 species